AAAACAUUUUUUUAUAUAAACAUGGAGAAGUAAAAACCAUAUAGCUUUUUUCAGAAGUUUUUAUUAAUGUUCUAAAUAUUUAUGACGUGAAAAUAUAACUGAAAGAUAGAUGUGACAGAACUUUCUUUGAACAAAAGAAACGAUUGUAAUAUUUUAUUCAAAAGAGGAAUGGAAAGAAACUCAGAAGUGCUUAUUAAUUUGAAUAGAAACCACUAUAAGCCUCUACUUUUGGAAGAAAUCAACACGUAUUCAUCAUCGAUGUCACGUAAUAGCCCUUGGACUCGAUUUUCGACAUUACUUCCAUAGGACCUGAGCUUGCUUUCCCAUAAAAAAACGAUCUGGUAUUAUCUUUGUCCUUGGUUUUGUAAAUUUUUUUUGAGAAUUUGAAUAAUCAUCAACUAAAUAUAGCUUUCAUGUAGU